GGUGAUCUUCCUCGUCAUCCUGUGCUGCUUAUGCUACCGAGUGGGCAAGCGAAGGGGCAAAGAAGAAGGCCACGUCGUUGCAGCACAGGAGCUCGCCCCGGCCAAUGGAAUUCCGAUGCCGCCAUCGGUGCCUGGGUAUCCUCCUCCGCCCCCGCCACAGAACUUCCCUUCUCCUUCUCCUCAGAAUCCUACCGCCCCCCACAUCAAGCAACAACACGGCACGAGUUAUUAGUAAAUUUCUUGUAAAUAAUUACUAAAUCUAUGAUUUUGCCAGUGUGAUCAUGUCAUCAGUGAGAUAAACUGGAUUCCUUCUGUAUGUCCGAGUUUUGAUAUUCCAUCCG
rnacentral:lncRNA from 1 species